AUGGCCGCCGCGUACUCCAUGCUGCCCGGCCACUCCCCGAGCGCGCACGCCGCGAGGAGCGGCCGCAAGUGCGGCGGGGAGCGGUCGAGGCCGAGCUUGAAGUUCCUCGCGUGCGCCUUCCUGACCUCGUCCAGGCCACGCACGAGCCGCGCCGAGACCGUGGCGCAGCAUGGCGCCUGCUCCAGCGCUUGCGUCGUGGUCGCCGGCGCCGGGGCGGCGGUUCUUGGCGUGGCGGCCUGGUGCUGCGGCUGGGGGAGCACUAGACCUCCCACCAUGGCACUACCAUCGGCGUGCGGGGCAGCGCGGGCGACGAAAGUGAGACCGUACCAUCGUCGAACUGCGAACGAGUGGCUAACAUGGAGCUCGGGCGUCCACACGAAUUGGUUACCGCGAGGAGUGAAAAUCCCACGUCCCUCUCCAGAUUCCUAG
rnacentral:rRNA from 1 species